CAAUAGCGUAUAUUAAAGUUGUUGCAGUUAAAAAGCUCGUAGUUGGAUUUCUGGUAGGAGUGACCGUGCCAGACUUGAUUGUCUGUGUAUUGUGCUGUCUCCAGCCAUCCUUGUGGAGAACUUUUCUUGCAUUAAUUUGUAGGGAUUGGGACCCGCAUCGUUUACUGUGAAAAAAUUAGAGUGUUUAAAGCAGGCAAUCGCUUGAAUACAUUAGCAUGGAAUAAUAAGAUAGGACUUUGGUACUAUUUUGUUGGUUUGCAUACCAAAUUAAUGAUCAACAGGAACAGUUUGAGGAUAUUCGUAUGAACAUGUCAGAGGUGAAAUUCUUGGAUUUUGAUCAGACGAACUACUGCGAAAGCAUUUAUCAAGGAUGUUUUCAUUAA
rnacentral:rRNA from 1 species